CUUAUCAAGAGUGGCGGAGGGAACGGCCCGAUGAAACCACGGCAACCUGCGUUGUAAGGUGCCAAAUCCGACGGAUACCGACAGAUGAG
rnacentral:ncRNA from 1 species